UACGUAGGGUGCGAGCGUUAAUCGGAAUUACUGGGCGUAAAGCGUGCGCAGGCGGUUCGUUAAGUCAGAUGUGAAAGCCCCGGGCUCAACCUGGGAAUGGCAUUGGAAACUGGCGGACUCGAGUGUGGCAGAGGGGGGUGGAAUUCCGCGUGUAGCAGUGAAAUGCGUAGAGAUGCGGAGGAACACCGAUGGCGAAGGCAGCCCCCUGGGCUAACACUGACGCUCAGGCACGAAAGCGUGGGGAGCAAACAGG
rnacentral:rRNA from 1 species